CUUGAAAUCUUUUAUCAGAUGUUAACUAGCUAUGUCAACUAUCUUCUGGCAAUAUUUGAUUAAAAUGUAUCUUUUUGGUUGAUAAUUAUCUGGUAAAUCUUUCUCCAUGCUCUGUCAACCUUUGCAUUCUUAUGUUUGUGGUGUAAACAGAGCAUGGCUAGAAUUUUUAAAAUCUACUCAAGUGUAUUUUUUUUACUAUUUCUUUUAAUGUGGGUUUUGGGUAGUAAACCUGGGAAGCUGUCGGUUUGUUCAUUUUGUGCUUUGUUUUGUCUUCAUUCUUGAAAAAUAUUCUGAGUGUAGAAUUCCAGAUGGUCAGUUUUCACCACCCCAAAGCUAUUAUUCCACUGUCUUCUGGCUUCCAUCACUCUGCUUGAGAAGUUAGCAUUAGUCUAAUAGUUCAUUUUCUCCAUUUCCUCUCUGGCUUCUAUAAAAUCUUCUCUUUUUGGUAUUUUGAAGUUUCAUUACAUAUCUAGAUGUUUGUUUGUUUUAAUUAUGUCUGUCUGUCACUGGGUUUCCUGGAUCUGAUAUUCUCUCUUCCAAUUUUGUCUCUGCUUGAUUUUUCUCCUUCUGAAACUUUUUUUUUCCUUCUGAAACCCUGAUUAAAUAUGUCAAAUCUUACUCAAGUCUCCUUGUUUCUUAACCUCUUUUGUAUUUUGUACUGAAUUCCGGAUAGUGUUUUUGAACUAUCUUCUCAUUUGCAAAUUUUUUCAGCAGCGUGAUUUGUUCAAUGUGUCCAAGUUUUAUAUUUUUAAUCACGAUAUCUUUCAGCUCUAGAAUUCUGUUUCGUUCUCUCUCUAAUCCACAGGGUAGGUUCUGCCCUCUGCUCAUCUUUCAAUCUUCUCUUUAUUUCUUUAAGCAUAUUAAAGUUAUCAUGUAAUCUGGGUGUGAUGGCUCCAAUACCGGAAGUCUUUGUCUCUUUCCAUUGUUUGUUCAUUUUGCAUUUCUCAUCCACAAGUGUUGCUUUAGAUUGGAAGCUGCUUACUUUCCUUAGAAAGCAAUCGCUAGGAAUUCUUUCAGGUUUGAUUUGAAGUUGUGUUCUUCCAGGGAGUAUUUGUGUGCUUGAGUAUAAUGCUAACAGUGUCUUGUUCUAAGACAGCGUCUUGUUCUAAAUGCUCUGUCUGCAGUCUCUUUGGAACACGUUGGCAAUACGGAUUUGGACCAAAAGCCCUCAUGAAGAUAAGCUUACAGACAUGAAUCCUCAGAGGAGAUUUCCUCUCUUCACCCAGUACCAAGGGCAAGAUGGUGUUUCACUGCUGGCCUCUUCUGCGUGUCUACUAAGUAGAGCACAUCUGCCAUGAAACAUCAGCAGAGAAUGACUUCAUUAAAUAUUAAAUACUGUUUUCUGCCUUCACAACAAAACCCUCAAAUGGUGGAAGCGUCCAGGAGGGCAACCAAACUCAUUCUGAGCUGCAAAGUGCUCCUUGCAAAAGUCAGCCCGUUGCUGUGCUACUGGUCCCCCGUGAGUAAUGACCCACUGGCUGCUUGUCCAGUUUGAACAAUUGUUACGACAGCAUCUCUAAUACUGGUUUUCGCAGAAGCUUGAGACAACGUAUUUGUGGAUUAGAAACAAUCUUCGAGGCUUGUAAAAUUUGCCCAACACUCAAUAAUAAUUCAAAAUGAGAGACAAAGGAGGGUAUGUCAUAGGCCUUACAUUCCUUUUUCCCAAAUCCAUUCCUUUGCUUUGAUGUACAUAAUGGAAGUACAAGAUUUUAACCUAUUUGACAUUCACUUUGGAAUUUUCCCCUUCUAUAAUUUUUAAAUUCCCUUGAAAAAUCUCAGGGACCAUUGGUUUUCCUAUUAGUACCAUCUGCUGGUCUGGACAUUCUGACUGGGUUCUGGUUUGUAAGCUUCAAUACACUGAAGAAAA